ensembl:snRNA U6 U6 spliceosomal RNA
GUGCUCACUUCACCAGCCCAAUAUUAAAAUUGAAACAACACAGAGAGGAAUAGCAUGUCCCCUGCACAAAGAUGACAUGCAAAUUCAUGAAGAUUCCCAUACAUUA